GGGAAUAUAGCUCAGUGGCAUAGCACCUGCCUGGAAAGCAUGAGGUUAUAAGUUCAAUUCCCAGUUCCCC
rnacentral:tRNA from 1 species